UACGUAGGGUGCGAGCGUUAAUCGGAAUUGCUGGGCGUAAAGCGUGCGCAGGCGGCGCGUUAAGACAGAUGUGAAAUCCCCGGGCUUAACCUGGGAACUGCAUUUGUGACUGCAUCGCUGGAGUGCGGCAGAGGGGGAUGGAAUUCCGCGUGUAGCAGUGAAAUGCGUAGAUAUGCGGAGGAACACCGAUGGCGAAGGCAAUCCCCUGGGCCUGCACUGACGCUCAUGCACGAAAGCGUGGGGAGCAAACAGG
rnacentral:rRNA from 1 species